rnacentral:rRNA from 1 species
UACGGAGGGUGCAAGCGUUAUCCGGAUUCACUGGGUUUAAAGGGUGCGUAGGUGGAUUGGGAAGUCAGUGGUGAAAUACUACAGCGCAACUGUGGAACUGCCAUUGAUACUAUCAAUCUUGAAUACAGUGGAGGCGGGCGGAAUGUGUCAUGUAGCGGUGAAAUGCUUAGAUAUGACACAGAACACCAAUUGCGAAGGCAGCUUGCUACACUGUCAUUGACACUGAGGCACGAAAGCGUGGGGAUCAAACAGG